rnacentral:rRNA from 1 species
AUGCUUAUUACAGAUAAGCCCGCUGUGCUGGUUCAGAAUUCUCUUUACUGGCUGCCUACUGGGAAUUUGGAUGUAUUUCUGGAGUUUGAUUUGGAGAGGCAGAUCCUAGCUGUGAUAUGGAUGCCAGUGGAUUUGGUUGCCAAGGGCUGUUACGAUAUCUGCGUGACGUGUGCAGAGGAUGGUGGUCUUGGUUUCUUCUGUGUGCUGCAGUUGGACUACAUUGCCCAAUUAUGGAAGAGGAAGACUGAUUAUCAUGGUGUUGCUUCAUGGGUGCUAGGAAGAACUAUUGAACUGGACAACCUAAUUCCCUCGAAUUUAGCGGGUAAAUUGCCCAUUGUGGUCCUGGGGUUUGCUGAGGACAAUAAUGGGGUGUGCCUGUGGAUAGGUGGCGUCUUCGCUAUAGUCCAUCUUGAGUCAUUGCAGUUCAAGGAACUCUUUAAAUCCAACCGCCUUUUUCAUUGUCACCCAUUCGAAAGUGUCUACACUGCAGAAGCAGACAUUGGUGGUGGACAUGAUGGGGCUGAUCUUUUGCAGAAUACAUAA